GAGUUUGAUCCUGGCUCAGAACGAACGCUGGCGGCAUGCCNAACACAUGCAAGUCGAACGAGACCUUCGGGUCUAGUGGCGCACGGGUGCGUAACGCGUGGGAAUCUGCCCUUAGGUUCGGAAUAACUCAGGGAAACUUGAGCUAAUACCGGAUAAUGACUUCGGUCCAAAGAUUUAUCGCCUGAGGAUGAGCCCGCGUCGGAUUAGCUAGUUGGUGAGGUAAAGGCUCACCAAGGCGACGAUCCGUAGCUGGUCUGAGAGGAUGAUCAGCCACACUGGGACUGAGACACGGCCCAGACUCCUACGGGAGGCAGCAGUGGGGAAUAUUGGACAAUGGGCGAAAGCCUGAUCCAGCAAUGCCGCGUGAGUGAUGAAGGCCUUAGGGUUGUAAAGCUCUUUUACCCGGGAUGAUAAUGACAGUACCGGGAGAAUAA
rnacentral:rRNA from 1 species